rnacentral:rRNA from 1 species
CCUACGGGUGGCUGCAGUGGGGGAUAUUGCACAAUGGGGGAAACCCUGAUGCAGCGACGCCGCGUGAAGGAUGACGUAUUUCGGUAUGUAAACUUCUAUCAGCCAGGAAGAAAAUUACGGUACCUUACUAAGAAGCCCCGGCUAACUACGGGCCAGCAGCCGCGGUAAUACGUAGGGGGCAAGCGUUAUCCGGAUUUACUGGGUGGAAAGGGGGCGUAGACGGUAUGGCAAGGUUGAUGUGAAAACCCGGGGCUCAACCCCGGGACUGCAUUGAAAACUGCCGAACUAGAGUGUCGGAGAGGCAAGUGGAAUUCCUAGUGUAGCGGUGAAAUGCGUAGAUAUUAGGAGGAACACCAGUGGCGAAGGCGGCUUGCUGGACGAUGACUGACGUUGAGGCUCGAAAGCGUGGGGAGCAAACAGGAUUAGAUACCCGAGUAGUC